rnacentral:tRNA from 1 species
UGGGGCGUGGCCAAGUGAUAAGGUAGUGGGUUUUGGUCCCUUACUCGUAGGUUCGAAUCCUUUCGUCCCAG